UUUUUUUUUUUUUUUUUUUAAUUAAGUUAUUUGUUUAAAAAUUAACAAAUUAAUUAGACUAUUUAUUUUACAAUUUCUUUAUUUUUACUACUCGUCUAUUUUUCAUAACACUUUUUAACACCACUGUUCAUAUUUGUACCAACAUACACAUAUUAAUACAUAUUGUAUUUUUGUUAUAUAUAUUGUAUUGUGUUGUAUAUGUUGUAUGUAUUGUAUUGUUUUUUUUUUUUUUUUUUUUGUACUUGGAACUUGUAACUAAAUAUUCAUAUAUAUAUAUAUAUAUGUAUAUACAUACAUUACAUGUGCAAAGCUUAAAAUUAUCAAAUUAAAUAAGAUUCUAAAAACAUGUCAAAAAAAAAAUGUUAUUAUUAUAUAUAAUUUUUGUCGUCUUACCAUUUCUCAUAUUUUCUUAUUUCGUAUAUAAAAAUGUUUGUACUAUUAUUAACGAAAAAAAUAAAAGAAACGAGUUUUUCAGUAACUUAGCAUUUGAAAACAAGCAGUAUACUGCUUUUGAAAACUUUGUCAAAAAAUAUGAAAUUGAAAAAUAUAAAUAUUAUUUAAAAGUUGUUAGAAAUAUUGAAGUAAAUUAUAAUAUGGAAAUACUUGAAAAGUUAAUUACAGAAAAUAAUGAAUUAGAAAAAAAAAACGAGGAAUAUAUACAAAAUUUAUUAAAUAAUAUUGAUAAAGAUGAUAAAUAUGUACAGGAUAAUGAAAUAAAAAACCCUCAAAAUAGUUGGAUGAGAAAAUUAGCUAAUGAAGACAUAGUAAAGUUAAAAGUUUCCCUUUUAAAGAAAGCAAUUUGUUUUAUUCCAAUUUGUAAUAAAUUAUUUCAGGACAAAAAUAAAAGACAUUUGUUAUAUAAUAACUAUUAUAUUGAUGAUAAAAUGUCUAAAGAGCUAGAUGGCCAAUGUGCUGAGUUUUUAGAAGAAUUCGAUUUUAUUAUAUAUGAAGCCAAUUGUCUAUCACCUAACUGGGGCGAAACAAUUAUAGUAGACGCGUACAAAAUUUAUCAUCAUAACAAAUUAAAAAACGAUGAAGAAAAAAAAAAGAAAGACUUACAAAAAAGUUUGAUAAAAAAACAAAAACAGAAGGAAAAAAAAAUAAAGAUUGAUACAGAUAAAGCAAAUGAAUUGGCCAAUCAAUUAAUUCAAGUAAGUAUAAAAAAAAAAAUAAAAAAAAAAAAAAA
rnacentral:lncRNA from 1 species